GUCUACGGCCAUACAACCCUGAACGCUCCCGAUCUCGUCUGAUCUCGGAAGCUAAGCAGGGUCGGGCCUGGUUAGUACUUGGAUGGGAGAAAUGCAAAUUCUUUUUUUU
ensembl:rRNA 5S_rRNA 5S ribosomal RNA